rnacentral:rRNA from 1 species
CCUACGGGAGGCAGCAGUGAGGAAUAUUGGUCAAUGGGCGCGAGCCUGAACCAGCCAAGUAGCGUGAAGGAUGACUGCCCUACGGGUUGUAAACUUCUUUUAUAAAGGAAUAAAGUGAGGCACGUGUGCCGUUUUGUAGGUACUCUAUGAAUAAGGAUCGGCUAACUCCGUGCCAGCAGCCGCGGUAAUACGGAGGGAGCGAGCGUUGUCCGGAAUUAUUGGGGUUAAAGGGAGCGUAGGCGGGACGUCAAGUUGGGGGUAAAAUCUACGGGCUCAACCCGUAGCCGCGGUCAAAACUGGAGUUCUUGAGUGGGGUAGAGGCAGGCGGAAUGCGUGGUGUAGCGGUGAAAUGCGUAGAUAUUAGGAAGAACACCGAUGGCGAAGGCAGCAUACUGGGGCUUUACUGACGCUGAAGCUCGAAAGUGUGGGGAGCGAACAGGAUUAGAUACCCUGGUAGUC